rnacentral:misc_RNA from 1 species
CAGAGCUGGGCAGCGCGAUGUGCGCGGGGUGUGGCGACGCAGCCAGCCAGGCAGAGGCAGCCGCGGCGGAAGAGAAUCCCUUCCCUUAAACAAAUGCCUGCGACUCGCCGGGCGGCGCGAGGUGACGGUGGACCUGCAAGGCUUCAACUACAGCUAGUCAUCUCUCUCCCUCUUUCUCCUCGAAAUAGUGGAUCAAGAAUUCAAGAUCAAAUGAUUACCACUACAGCUACUUUUUUCCCAUCCAUUUUUUUCUCGUCUGCUUUGAUUCACAAUCAAUCGAUAUCUUUUCCUGUUGUUUACUCCAC